UAUACUACUUGAUAUACUACUUGAUAUAAUGUGUAUGGAAAUGACGUUGCAGAUGAUAACAUGCAUGAUGCAUAAAUCAAUAAUGAUUCUGACAAUCAUCAGGGUGAAAAAAUAAUGAUCAUGAUGAUAAAAAUGGCAAAAGAAGAAAUUAUUGCAAAAAUUGUUCCCUCAACGUUCUACUUUUGCAAUAUCAACCAAUUUCAAUAAUGAAAAACUGUUGUCACUUUCAUAAAAAUAACUGCUUGAAUAUGAAAAACUAUUAAUUGAUCAACUGUGACAUUGUGAUCGUUUUUAAGUACAUGUGAGCUUAUAUGUAUUUGAAAUGAGUAAACAUCGGUAUAUGACAUUUUUGUCAUAUAUUUUUUUUUGCAUGUUUGUCACAAUAAUGAGGUAGUAUUUAAUUAGUAUUAGGAGGUUUUGGAUAGUAUUGGAUCAGUCAUCCUGCCCAUAAUAAUGAGGUAGUAUUUAAUUAGUAUUUGGUGGUUUGGGGUAGUACUGGAUCAGUCAUCCUGCCCACAAUAAUGAGGUAGUAUUUAAUUAGUAUUGGGUAAAUCGUCCUGCCCAUAGAUUGUUAUCACAAUUGUUAUUCUUUAACCAAAGAAGAAAUUUCGAUAAUAACACCUAUUUAAAUAGCCAAAAGGGGCUAUUUCAUUAAUAAAUAAUUAUUAUUGUUAUUGUGUAUUGCCAUGUAUAAUGUUAUUCAUCAUUGUAUUGCCAUGUAUACUAUAAUGUUAUUCAUCAUUACUAUAUUGGGCCAUUUCAUGAUCAUUUUGUUAAGCCCAACAUUCAUUCAGUAGGGUCGUUAAAAAAGUAUGAACAUUAGUGUUAUUUUGCUCUUAUUUUUUUGAAAAAAUUUUCACAAGUUGAUUUCCUUUAUUUUGUAGAAUGGUAAUGAACUGCGCUUUUCAUUUUCUUUGUUUUAUUUGUUUCGUUUGAAUUUGAUUUAUCUGUUUAGUUUUUGAUUGUUUAAUUUUUGUUAAUGAAGUUGAUUCUUUUAAACUUCGUUUUUAUUUUUGAACUCUACUUGGUGUAGGUGUUCAUCAGGUAAUACCUCGACUGAGUUCAAUAUAGAGAUUAGCCGGUUGAUUUGUUGAUAUAAACCUUUGAAUAAUAGCGCCUAACAGGCAGCUGUGUUUAAUUAUGUUCUCCUGAUUUUGAUUGUUUCUGUGUGUUUGAAGUAUAUGUUUGUGAUAUGCGCUUAGAAACACUUCACGUGUAAUGAAGCGCUAUAUAAAUCGAACAAUAAUAAUAAUAAUAAUAAUAAUGCAAAUACUUGAUAUUUUACUAGAUAUAUUAUUUGAUAUAUUUUACUUUAUAUAAUACUUGAUAUAAUACUUGAUAUAUAACUUGAUAUAUUACUUAUAAUUGGUAUAUUACAUUACAUAAUACUGUUCUUAAUAAAUACUUUGUAUAAUAUUUUAGAUAUUGCACAUGUGCAUUACAAUUACUUUAUAUGAUACACAUACUGUGCAUACUAAAUACUCUAUAUCAUAAAUAAUUUAUAUAAUACAUGACAUGUAUAUAUGAAGCAAUAGCUGCUGUCACUCGGUAAAGUUUAUGGAAGUAACAGGGACUUCCACAGUUCGCUAUAUAAGUAACAUUGACUUCCACAACUCGCUAGAGUUCAUAAAAGCAAUUCUUUGAUAAUUAUUUCAGACCAAUGGACUAGAGAUGUCAUCGUAUUGUUGUGAGGUAAUGGGGCUAUAUAUUUUCGACACAUAUCUGAACAGUACGACAAACUGGUUUUUAUAUAGCUAUUCAAUUAUUUAGUUCCUAUAGACAACUACAGAUCACAAUACCUGGAAUCUAUAACACAAAUACUUGGUCAAAUUUUUUCCCUAAAACAACGUAUGUUCUUGAUCCCGUUAAUCCUUUCUCCGACACAUCUUCAUCUGAUGUCAACAUUAUAGAAAUAUGUGCUGAGGUCACUUUAGAUUUGUUACGAAAUGUACCAAUGGAAUCCAAGAGUUAUGAUUUGUUAUCUAUAGUCAGAGUGUUAGUUGAUGUCGCUGCUGUUAUUAUACUACUUGCACUCAACGCAGCUACACAAAACUGAUUUAUAUAAAAUGUUUAAUUCUUUUCUCACAUUCUGUACUAAAU